AUGGACUUAUAUUAACUGCUCAUCAUCAUUUACAUAAUUUGGCUGUUUCUUGUUUCAAUGGAGAAUUUAUCAAGGAUUUUAUAACCAGCCAUGGAGUGACUUAAUUUCUUCGUCCCGCUCUGUGACAACGAUUUACUACCGAUUUACUACCUUAUCAACAUCGUGGAUUAUGUGUCUUCGCCCUUAUGAGAACCGUCAUCAUUACCCCCACUCUUUGGACAGAAGACUACAGUAUCGACUACUUAAGGAUAUAGCCUCCUAAACCCCUUUGAAGAUCCUUGGAGAAAAAUCAGCAGAGUAUUUACCUUGAGGAAAACUUGAUGGAGGAAAGGCAGUCUUUUAACAACUCUCAUUGUAUAAAGUGUGGAGCAGUUGGCCAUGGACUUAUAUUAACUGCUCAUCAUCAUUUACAUAAUUUGGCUGUUUCUUGUUUCAAUGGAGAAUUUAUCAAGGAUUUUAUAACCAGCCAUGGAGUGACUUAAUUUCUUCGUCCCGCUCUGUGACAACGAUUUACUACCGAUUUACUACCUUAUCAACAUCGUGGAUUAUGUGUCUUCGCCCUUAUGAGAACCGUCAUCAUUACCCCCACUCUUUGGACAGAAGACUACAGUAUCGACUACUUAAGGAUAUAGCCUCCUAAACCCCAUUUUGUAGAGCUGGUCGGAAUAGGCUGGGGAAGUAGAUCCUUCCACAACUAAAAACCUUAGUGGAUCUAUUCUAGUGACAUUGGUGCUAGGGUCUUAUUUAAACAUUGAAGAUCUUUAUACUUUUUGUAAAUAAAUGUUAAUA